UCGGGAAUUUUGGGCAAUGGGGGAAACCCUGACCCAGCAACGCCGCGUGAAGGAUGAAGUAUUUCGGUAUGUAAAUUUCGAAAGAAUAGGAAGAAUAAAUGACGGUACUAUUUAUAAGGUCCGGCUAACUACGUGCCAGCAGCCGCGGUAAUACGUAGGGACCAAGCGUUGUUCGGAUUUACUGGGCGUAAAGGGCGCGUAGGCGGCAUGACAAGUCACUUGUGAAAUCUCUGGGCUUAACCCAGAACGGCCAAGUGAUACUGUCGCGCUAGAGUGCAGAAGGGGCAAUCGGAAUUCUUGGUGUAGCGGUGAAAUGCGUAGAUAUCAAGAGGAACACCUGAGGUGAAGACGGGUUGCUGGGCUGACACUGACGCUGAGGCGCGAAAGCUAGGGUAGCAAACGGGAUUAGAUACCCCUGUAGUCCCUGAGCGGGCUGGCAAGGCGCAU
rnacentral:rRNA from 1 species